rnacentral:sRNA from 1 species
UUAAUGUUCAGGGAUCAUUUUAGAGUUUUUAACGUCAGGCGGUUAUUUUUCAUCCAUCCAAAAUUUUAAAGAAAUCCGAACAUGUGGGCGAUGGUGUUCCUCCAUGCCUUGCCCUUUUGUUGUCUCGUUUUCACUUUGCCGAAACCGCAAGCCGGGAAACUUUCGCACCUGUGUCGAAUGACCAAAAACCAGAGGAGAGCAGCCUGCAACUUCCUCGUCGCAGGACGAUGUGAAAAAGCCGAUGUCUAACCCUUUUUUUGCGGCUUAAUUGCGAUGCCAGAUCAUAGCCAUCGGUCCGUUGGUGAAACAAAGUAACCGACAGGAGUCCUGCAAUCCGGAUCCUGUGAAUUCGAGCCGAGUCAAUGUUCAUUAGGGGACACUUUGCGACCUUAACCCUUCUAUUCGAGCUACGAGCUACAUGUUCCUCUGUCCAUAUGCAAAAUAAUGCCGCAUCAUUAGUGCGUUGGCCGACAAUGGGAAAGGGUUGCAAGUGGGGCACGUGUCGAGCACAGGCUGCAUGUCCUCCGGAUUCCGAACUUUUUUUGCGCCUCAGUAAAACCCAGAAAUCGUGUUUUUCACCGUAUUUGCAUAUGCUGAUGUUCACAGCAUCAUUUGAAUUAGAUUUUAGUGUUUUUCAUUGUGGCAGGUCAAAGGGUUUAAGGGCACGAGCAAAGCUGUCUAGUCAUGUAGGUUUGCGUUAUUCGAAGGAUAAUGGGGUACUUUGUAUUUUAUACUAUAUGUAUAUCAAUCAACCAUCAGACGGGAGGAUUUGGAUUAGUUGCUCAGAUUGUUUAUAAUUCUUGAGGAUUUUAGUAAGUUGUUUUUAGAGAACUUGUUUCAUUCCAAAUCCUUAUGUCCUCCCAAAAUCGGUUCUAUUUGUUAUGCUACGCCUCCAAUUUCUUGCAUAACGCCUCCUCUUCUUAGCCAGUGAUCUUUUCCCACAGAGCAUGGAAACCACACAAAUCUGUUGACCUUGUUAAGUUUUGGUAAAAUAACCCGCAGAAUUGGCGAUUCGUCUGAGCAAGGCCGGUUACCUGUCGACGGAUUGCAAUGGGAGGAUGAGGAGCUUGGAGGGCCAGAAGUUUGGACAGAUACUCACGCUUUAUCCACUCAUAAGUCACGGCUUCGUUUUGCAGCCAAAAGAAGUGGCUGGCCAGCCAUAAAUCAGCUCCUCAUAUGGCGAACACGAUCAACAGUUCAUCGGUUCGACUCGCAUAUCUCUAAUAAUGAUAUCAGGGCAUCCUCGCCGGGGGAUUCAGCAUUCUGAUUGCCCCAUCGACAGCUUCCCGAAAAGCAGGAGGCUCUUCCCAGGCCCCUUUCCCUUUUUUUUUCGGCCCCAGCAGGCGAGGCAUCGUGACACCAUCUCCACAUCCAUUUGCAACUGCGGCAACCUGCACUAAAGAGAAUUCCCGAAGGUUCCUUGGCAUCCUCAUCUGCACCCACGACGUGGUCAUUACACUGGAAGCAAAAGGAAUGAAAAAAU